AUUUUUGACCCGAUUUUACAAUUUUGUUGCGUACAAAUUCCACGGAGGGAAAUAUUAAACAACGAUCGGGGGUGAUUUUCAAAAACUGUUUGCCCGAAGAUGUCUGCAAUGGAAAAUUAAAUAAUUAUUAAGGUCUGGCCGAUUGGUAUAAAAUAUACAAAAUAUUGAUGGCGAUUGCAACAAACACACCAACACUCAAGGGACCCACCAAACAUGCCGCAAAAGCCAGUAGACCAAUGAAAAGAUCAGAUUCUAGAAGAUAUAAAAUCCAUUGAAUUACAUGCAAUUCGGAAUAUAAUUGUUGCUGUUGCAGGGGAAUCAAUUUUCCAUUUUAAAGCUGAAGCUGCCACAGAGAAGUCGUGCAGAG